rnacentral:rRNA from 1 species
UACGAAGGGGGCUAGCGUUGUUCGGAAUUACUGGGCGUAAAGCGCACGUAGGCGGAUAUUUAAGUGGGGGGUGAAAUCCCAGGGCUCAACCCUGGAACUGCCUCUCAUACUGGGUAUCUCGAGUUCGAGAGAGGUGAGUGGAAUUGCGAGUGUAGAGGUGAAAUUCGUAGAUAUUCGCAGGAACACCAGUGGCGAAGGCGGCUCACUGGCUCGAUACUGACGCUGAGGUGCGAAAGCGUGGGGAGCAAACAGG